AGAACGCUGGCGGCGUGCUUAACACAUGCAAGUCGAACGAUGAAGACUGGUGCUUGCACUGGUUGGAUUAGUGGCGAACGGGUGAGUAAUACGUGAGUAACCUGCCUUUGACUCUGGGAUAAGCCUGGGAAACUGGGUCUAAUACCGGAUAUGACAAGGAACCGCAUGGUUUUUUGUGGAAAGGGUUUGUACUGGUUUUAGAUGGGCUCACGGCCUAUCAGCUUGUUGGUGGGGUAAUGGCUCACCAAGGCGACGACGGGUAGCCGGCCUGAGAGGGUGACCGGCCACACUGGGACUGAGACACGGCCCAGACUCCUACGGGAGGCAGCAGUGGGGAAUAUUGCACAAUGGGCGCAAGCCUGAUGCAGCGACGCCGCGUGAGGGAUGACGGCCUUCGGGUUGUAAACCUCUUUCAGCAGGGAAGAAGCGAAAGUGACGGUACCUGCAGAAGAAGCGCCGGCUAACUACGUGCCAGCAGCCGCGGUAAUACGUAGGGCGCGAGCGUUGUCCGGAAUUAUUGGGCGUAAAGAGCUUGUAGGCCGGUUUGUUGCGUCUGCUGUGAAAGACCGGGGCUUAACCCCGGUAUUGCA
rnacentral:rRNA from 1 species